rnacentral:rRNA from 1 species
AGAGUUUGAUCCUGGCUCAGAACGAACGCUGGCGGCGUGCUUAACACAUGCAAGUCGAACGCGAAAGAGGUCUUCGGACCUCUCUAGAGUGGCGCACGGGUGAGUAACGCGUAGAUAAUCUACCCCCAUAUUUGGGAUAACUGCUCGAAAGGGCUGCUAAUACCGGAUACACUUAUUUGAACGCGAGUUUGAGUGAGGAAAGGUGACCUCUCCAUGGAAGUUACUGUAUAGGGAUGAGUCUGCGUACCAUUAGCUAGUAGGUAGGGUAAAGGCCUACCUAGGCAACGAUGGUUAGCGGGUCUGAGAGGAUGAUCCGCCACACUGGAACUGGAACACGGACCAGACUCCUACGGGAGGCAGCAGUGAGGAAUAUUGCGCAAUGGGGGAAACCCUGACGCAGCGACGCCGCGUGGGUGAUGAAGGCCUUCGGGCUGUAAAGCCCUGUCAGGUGGGAAGAAGUGCAUAAUGGCUAAUAUCCAUUAUGUUUGACGGUACCACCAAAGGAAGCACCGGCUAACUCCGUGCCAGCAGCCGCGGUAAUACGGAGGGUGCAAGCGUUGUUCGGAUUUACUGGGCGUAAAGGGCGCGUAGGCGGUCUUAUAAGCCAGAUGUGAAAGCCCACGGCUCAACCGUGGAAGUGCAUCUGGAACUGUGAGACUUGAGUAUGGGAGAGGAAAGUGGAAUUCCCGGUGUAGAGGUGAAAUUCGUAGAUAUCGGGAGGAAUACCGGUGGCGAAGGCGACUUUCUGGACCAAUACUGACGCUGAGGCGCGAAAGCGUGGGUAGCAAACAGGAUUAGAUACCCUGGUAGUCCACAGCUGUAAACGAUGAUAACUAGGUAUAGGGGGUGUUGACCCCUUCUGUGCCGCAGCUAACGCAUUAAGUUAUCCGCCUGGGGAGUACGGUCGCAAGAUUAAAACUCAAAGGAAUUGACGGGGGCCCGCACAAGCGGUGGAGUAUGUGGUUUAAUUCGACGCAACGCGCAGAACCUUGCCUGGUCUUGACAUCCCGAGAAUUUUCUAGAAAUAGUUAAGUGCCUCUUCACAGAGGAGCUUGGAGACAGGUGCUGCAUGGCUGUCGUCAGCUCGUGUCGUGAGAUGUUGGGUUAAGUCCCGCAACGAGCGCAACCCCCGCCUUUAGUUGCCAUCAUUAAGUUGGGCACUCUAGAGGGGCUGCCGGUGUCAAACCGGAGGAAGGUGGGGAUGACGUCAAGUCCUCAUGGCCUUUAUGACCAGGGCUACACACGUACUACAAUGGCCGGUACAAAGGGCAGCGACACAGCGAUGUGGAGCGAAUCCCAUAAAGCCGGUCUCAGUCCGGAUUGGAGUCUGCAACUCGACUCCAUGAAGUUGGAAUCGCUAGUAAUCGUGGAUCAGCAUGCCACGGUGAAUACGUUCCCGGGCCUUGUACACACCGCCCGUCACCACGAGAGUCGGUUGUACCAGAAGGCGUUGGUCUAACCCGCAAGGGAGGCAGGCGCCCAAGGUAUGGCUGGUAAUUGGGGUGAAGUCGCAACAAGGUA